GUCCCCGGCCCGGGUGUCAGGCUGAACUCCAGCUCUCUUAGGUAAACACGGUAACCAGGACCGUGGUGCCCUUGGCCCCAUCCUAUUAUCUGAGAUGGCUCAGGAAAGGCCAGGUGAAAAUUCAAUUCCUACACUCCACCCCUCACCCCUGAAUCUGCUUGUACCUUCUCCAGAAGUGUCCUCAGGCGAGGAAGGCGUGUGUCCACCAGCAGGUUGGGCCUCUGGGAGAACUUGAUUCUAAGCUUUGCUCUAGGGACGCCUGGGUGGCUCAGCAGUUGAGCGUCUGCCUUUGGCCCAGGGCAUGUACCCGGGAUCCGGGAUCGAGUCCCACAUCAGGCUCCUAGCAGGGAACCUGCUUCUCCCUCUGCCUGUGUCUCUGCCCCUUGCUCCCUCUCUCUUUCAUGAAUAAAUAAAUUAAAUAUUUAAAAAAAAUAAACUCUGCUCUACACAUCCUCACUAUAGGAUCUUAAAAAGUCACUUCUCUGCUCUAUAACUCCGUUUCUUCAUCCAUAGGAGGAGAAGGUGGACUAGAGGCCUAGAAUCCCUCUGGCCGUGGCCACAAGUCUGAGACUCUCCCGCUCCGGGCUGCUGGGUGAAUCGUGGAGGGUCUAGCACUGCCCUUUGUCAGGAAGAUCCUCCCCCUGCAUAGAAGCACCUCCCCAUACCUGCCGUGGAGGAAGGGGGUGGUCACUGCCCUCCUGCAGGAGAUGAUCCCAGGCUUGCCCCGGUGCACUCCCCUGGUGUACGCCCUGGAAACAAACCAAUUUCCUAUCCCCUAUGCCCGCCCUGCCCGCCCUGCCCCGCUAUACUCCCAGCCUGGCCUUGAGCCAUCCGGCCACACCCCAUUAGAACCAGACACAUGCUGCCUUGGUAACAGUCGUCAUUCACCCCCACCCCUGUCCCUCUCCUCCCACAGCAGCCCAUGCCCCCCAGACAGAGCCCCUCAGCCUAUCCUGCUAAGAAAGCUGGGCUUUCCCCCUCUCCAUCCCCCCUCACCCCCCACCCCCAUCACCAAAGAAAUCAGAUCUCCCGGAGUUGAGCAGCACCUCGCCUGCCACCUCUGCAGGGCUUCCCCCUCCAUCCCCCAAACCACAUCCACUUACGGCAGCUUCACACCCACCUCUGCACCCCAGCCCCACCUGCUUGAGGGCCCCAGAGGUGUACAAAAGACAACUGUAGAGCACUUACCAGUCUGGAUGAGCCAACAGACUUCGGACAACAGUCAACCGACCCCUGGGCCUUCAGGGUCUGGCAGAAGGAACUGGGACACCAGAGAGGGACCAGGGCGGGCCUCUGUCCAUGGUGGAAGCCUACGGAGGGAGAAUCAGUGGGGCUCCACAUUGGGCCCUAAAGUCUCUGAGGACCCCACAGGGCAGGGGCUCAAUCACCCCAACUCCAGGCAGCCCAGACUCCUAACCAGAGCAAUGGGGACUCCCAGGAAAAACUCUGUGAAGCCACUCUGGGCCCCAAACACGAAGGCCCAACUUGAAGCAAAGUGGUUAAGGGCCCCGACGCUGGAACCCCGGCACCUGCGUUCAAGUCCUGGCUCUGUCACCUGUAAUCCUGGGCAAGUUGCAGAACCUCUCUGCGCCCCAGGUUCCCCCACUGUGGAAAUGCCAACCGGUGAUAGACAUCUCCGAAAUGAACUACCACGGGGCUGCCGGGGGACUUAAAAUGAGUCCACGUGUGUAAAGGACAAAGCAGAGCGCCAGACACACGUACAACAGCACUAUCGUUAUUAGGAGAAAUUAAAUGAGGACACGUCAGAGCCAGUCGCAGGCCCUGGGUUUUAUUCCAAGCCAUCUCUGGGCACCCGGUCUCCCCUUCCAGAGCCAAAUGUGAGCACCACCCUUCCAGCCAGAGUACUCCAGGCCCUACAUCUCUCCUUCCCUUUUUCUCACCCCAAUUCAGCCCUCUCCUCUCUCAACUGAGCCUCAAAGUGAGAGCAGGACCGGGUGCCCUCUGGGGCAAUGUGAGGCGUGGGAAAAGGGAAGUAGAUGCUCCCAUGCUGGGAGGUAGAGGGUGCAAGGAGGAGGCUACAUGAUGUAAUGGGCUUCCUUGCCCUCCUGACCCCUCCCUGCCCCAGGGUCCACAGACUAAAGGGAGCUACUCUGCACCACGGUACCCAGAUCCUCCUCUAACAGAGCUAUGAGCACUCCCAUGCUCCUCUGCGUGAAAUGGAGACCAAGGGGUGAAGGCACUGGGAGUGAAAGGCAGGGGAGCAGUCUUGAGCAUCUGGGGGGCUUCCAACCCUAACAGAGGGCAAAAUCAGGGGGCACCUGGGUGGCUCAGGCAUGAUCCCAGGGUCCUGGGAGCCUGCUUCUCCCUCUGCCUGUCUCUGCCUCUCUGUGUCUCUCACGAAUAAAUAAACAAAAUCUUAAAAAAAUAAUAAAAAUAAAAAUAAAAAAGGUGGCCAAAUCAGCUUCCAACCUGUCUCAGCUCACAGGCUACACCUGCUUCCCAGAGUGACACCAUCAUCGUCCCGUACCCCGGAAACAGGCCUGCAAUAAGGCCCCAGGGCUCCCCUGCACAACCUUCCCUUUUCUCCCUACCAGUCCACAGCUGAGGAGGAAGGGCAGGAAGGACCAACAGCUCCCACCACAGUCAGGCCCGCCCAAGUGCCCAGGUCUUCCGCACUCAUCUUCCCCAGUCUCCGAGAAAUAGGGGCCAGAGUCGGGGAUUGGUCAUGCCCAGAAAGUGCUUCUUAACAUCUCGGAGCCGAUAUCUGAUGCCAUCUCCUGUCUCAGAUCAAAAUUCCCUCCACAAGCCUCGACUGAGGGCCUCGGCAAGCCAGGCAGUGAGCCACGAACCCCAUGUCUGGGCCCUGGGAGGCUGUGAUGGGGGAAUGAAUCCAGGUCAGUUACCUGUGCAGAGGGCGAGCCUAGGGCCGAGUUACCUGUGCAGAGGGCGAGCCUAGGGCUUGGAGAAGAGACUGAUGCCCCCUAAGUGGUGUGGAAGCAUCAGGCCAGACCUGGGACCCAGCUCUUGCACCCCCUCCUUGCUGUGCCCCCUGCACACGGGCUUUCUCUCCCCAGGCAGGGCCUUUGCUUUGGCUGUCCCCUCCACCGAGGCCAUUGCCCGGGAGGUCUGUAUGCUUAGCUCCUUCUCAGCAGCCAGGCCUCCUGUCCUCUUUCACCUCCUUGGAGAGCCUCGGCCCCCACCGCCGGCACAUGGCCCUGGUUUGAUUAGCUGCAGCGGACUAAUGCUGCCGAGCUGUUCACUCAUCUGUCCUAAUCGCUGUGGUCUUCACUCUCCCAAACACAGCUCAGCACUACUAGGUACUUGGGAAAUAUUUGAGGAAUGUUGCCGAAGAAGACUCACGCAUGCCUGCCUCAGAACCGGGCUGAGCGGGGGGCGCCUGGGUGGCUCAGUGGCUGAGCGUCUGCCUUUGGCGCAGGGCGUGAUCCCGGGGUCCUGGGAUCGAGUCCCUCAUCAGGCUCCCAGAGUAGAGCCUGCUUCUCCCUCUGCUUAGGUCUCUGCCUCUCUCUCUGUGUCUCUCAUGAACAAAUAAAAUCUUUAAAAACAAAAAAGAACUAGGCUGCGAGAACCGGCCAGCUGCCUGGAAGGAGGUAUGGAAAGGACACCGGAGCUAAGGAACUGUCCCUUCUGUUCGACGGCAGAUCCAAAGUCCGAGGAUCCUUCCCUAUGCUGGGCUACGACCCCGACUCCUAGAGCCCCAGCCCUGCAUCCCAGCUCCACACAGGCCCCCCCAAACCUCCUCCUCCUUCCUACCAAGUAUUUGUCUUCUCUUAACUCAACUUCUCCUCACCACAGGAUGUGGUGGGCAGACCCUCUGCAGCCCUGGUGCCUUCCUGGAUAUAAGCUCUGCAUCGGCCAAGUCCCCCUGCCCCCCAGAAACGGGCACACUACUAGUAUUAACAAUAUAACAGCAGAUAACACCUACUGAACACCAUGCGCUAGACACAUCACCAAGCACUUUACAUGCACGUUCUCAUUUCGGCCUCAUGAUGCUACGAGGAAGAGAUUAUUAUAACGAACUAAGUUUUACCAGAGGGGACACUAAGGUGCAACAAUGCUAUGCAACUUGCUGAAGGUCACACAGCUAGGAAGUGACAAAGCCAGGAUUAGGACCCAGGGAGCCCCAGGGCCAGGCCUCCUUCUUCCCCGCUUGGACGACUCUAGUGGGUAGAGGUCUCAGAUUGCACAGAGCUGUCAGGCAGCUGACUCCAGAAAGCAAGUGGGAGGCUCUGGCCCUUAGAGUCAGGCUCUAGGCCUGAACUCCUGCAACUAAUUUUCUUCACUCCAGCACAGGCCCCAACAUUUAUAAUCAGUCACAUUCAUCUUGUUCAUCUUGGUCCACCCUUCUGCCCGGCUGCCAUCAUCUGGAAUCUUGAUUUUAUCCUAUCGUACACCUGUCAUUCCCCUUGGCUCUAGGUCUUUAGAAAGAGUCAGCCGGCCUCCCUUUUAAGUCUUCAUCCAAAUCACUGAUCUAAAGGUUCACUUGCAGUGGGUGUAGGACCAUGGCUGUAGCCCGCCCCCCCAGCCCCCUGUCCAGGGUGUUAUCAGCCCCCUGAGCCAUCAGCACCCUUUGGGCACAGCUUUUGUGAAGACACCUACCUCUCCCCGGCCUUCCUUUGCCCUGCGUGCCCCAACACUAGCCCCAAGUCCAAAUGAAUGCUUCGCUGGAAAGCCCUGUAAGUGCCUCUUCUGAAGCAUUUCUAACCCCAGGUCGGCUCCUGACUCUACCUGACCCUCUCCGGUUCGAUUUCUUCUACUCAAUCCCAGGAUGGGGUUGCACCGGGCAAGUCUGGUCCCUCCCCUCCCCAACUCCUGGACUCCUGGAACCCAUCGCCCCCACCCCCCCGCCCCGCCCGCAGCCGGCGGGGAAAUGGAAGGAAUGUCUCGGCCUGGCCACCUCCAGCGCCCCGUGGGCCAAACCCCACCCUCCACGGCCGGGAGAGAAAGCCUUGGAAAGCCUGGGCCGCCACACUCGCGGCGCCCGGGGCUGACUCUGAGCCCGCAGGUUCCUCCGGGAACCAGUCCCCCACCCCCCGCCCCCGCACACGCUGCGCCUCGACCCCCCGCGGGACCCCCCAGCACACGCUGCACCCCCCGCCCCCCCGCACAGCUGCACCCCGACCCCCCGCGGGACCCCCCAGCACACGCUGCACCCCCC
rnacentral:lncRNA from 1 species